CUACGGGGGGCUGCAGUGGGGAAUAUUGCACAAUGGGCGCAAGCCUGAUGCAGCCAUGCCGCGUGUAUGAAGAAGGCCUUCGGGUUGUAAAGUACUUUCAGCGGGGAGGAAGGGAGUAAAGUUAAUACCUUUGCUCAUUGACGUUACCCGCAGAAGAAGCACCGGCUAACUCCGUGCCAGCAGCCGCGGUAAUACGGAGGGUGCAAGCGUUAAUCGAAUUACUGGGCGUAAAGCGCACGCAGGCGGUUUGUUAAGUCAGAUGUGAAAUCCCCGGGCUCAACCUGGGAACUGCAUCUGAUACUGGCAAGCUUGAGUCUCGUAGAGGGGGGUAGAAUUCCAGGUGUAGCGGUGAAAUGCGUAGAGACCUGGAGGAAUACCGGUGGCGAAGGCGGCCCCCUGGACGAAGACUGACGCUCAGGUGCGAAAGCGUGGGGAGCAAACAGGAUUAGAUACCCCAGUAGUC
rnacentral:rRNA from 1 species